UACGAAGGGGGCUAGCGUUGUUCGGAAUCACUGGGCGUAAAGGGCGCGUAGGCGGCUUUAUAAGUCGGGGGUGAAAGCCUGUGGCUCAACCACAGAAUUGCCCUUCGAUACUGUAGAGCUUGAGACCCGGAAGAGGUAAGUGGAACUGCGAGUGUAGAGGUGAAAUUCGUAGAUAUUCGCAAGAACACCAGUGGCGAAGGCGGCUUACUGGUCCGGUUCUGACGCUGAGGCGCGAAAGCGUGGGGAGCAAACAGG
rnacentral:rRNA from 1 species